AUUGAACGCUGGCGGCAGGCCUAACACAUGCAAGUCGAACGGUAACAGGAAGAAGUUUGCUUCUUUGCUGACGAGUGGCGGACGGGUGAGUAAUGUCUGGGAAACUGCCUGAUGGAGGGGGAUAACUACUGGAAACGGUAGCUAAUACCGCAUAACGUCGCAAGCCCAAAGAGGGGGACCUUCGGGCCUCUUGCCAUCGGAUGUGCCCAGAUGGGAUUAGCUAGUAGGUGGGGUAACGGCUCACCUAGGCGACGAUCCCUAGCUGGUCUGAGAGGAUGACCAGCAAAACUGGAACUGAGACACGGUCCAGACUCCUACGGGAGGCAGCAGUGGGGAAUAUUGCACAAUGGGCGCAAGCCUGAUGCAGCCAUGCCGCGUGUAUGAAGAAGGCCUUCGGGUUGUAAAGUACUUUCAGCGGGGAGGAAGGGAGUAAAGUUAAUACCUUUGCUCAUUGACGUUACCCGCAGAAGAAGCACCGGCUAACUCCGUG
rnacentral:rRNA from 1 species